rnacentral:rRNA from 1 species
AUGAAUUUUCCAUUAGUAUCACACGUCAGUGGAUUUCUUUGCAUCCUACAAAUAUCCCAAGGGGCAAGGGCCCCAGCGAACGGAUCCACGGAGGCGAGCCGGCCAGCGGCGACACACUCUGUGCCCUGGCAGGAACUCGAAUCCACCGAGUCGAACCGGCCAGGAUCCGACUGUCCGGCGGUGAAGAGUGGAGAUGUGGAGUCCAGGGUUGACCAUGGCAAUCUAGAGCAGUGUGGGGGCAGCGUGGGAUACUGGGAUUUCUUCUAUUUACUCCAAGAGACCAAGAACAGGAAUCAAGAAGACAAGAUUUUAGGUGUUCUCUCUCCAUUUUUCUGUAACCAUGUUGCAAAAAAAGCAUUUAUCUGGUUGUGCGAAAUGGAAAAAAGAAGAAACUUGUAG